rnacentral:rRNA from 1 species
AGAGUUUGAUCCUGGCUCAGAAUCAACGCUGGCGGCGUGCCUAACACAUGCAAGUCGAACGCGAAAGUGGAGCAAUCCAUGAGUAGAGUGGCAAACGGGUGAGUAACGCGUGGGUGACCUGCCUUCGAGCGGGGGAUAACGUUCCGAAAGGGACGCUAAUACCGCAUGACAUCCUGCCUUUGAAGAGGUGGAGAUCAAAGCUGGGGAUCGCAAGACCUAGCACUCGAUGAGGGGCCCGCGUCUGAUUAGCUAGUUGGUGGGGUAACGGCUCACCAAGGCAACGAUCAGUAUCCGGCCUGAGAGGGCGGACGGACACACUGGGACUGAGACACGGCCCAGACUCCUACGGGAGGCAGCAGUGGGGAAUUGUUCGCAAUGGGCGCAAGCCUGACGACGCAACGCCGCGUGGAGGAUGAAGAUCUUCGGGUCGUAAACUCCUUUCGAUCGAGACGAACAGCCUCUGGGUGAACAAUCCGGAGGUCUGACGGUACCGAGAGAAGAAGCCCCGGCUAACUCCGUGCCAGCAGCCGCGGUAAUACGGGGGGGGCAAGCGUUGUUCGGAAUUACUGGGCGUAAAGGGCUCGUAGGCGGCCAACUAAGUCAGACGUGAAAUCCCUCGGCUUAACCGGGGAACUGCGUCUGAUACUGGAUGGCUUGAGUUUGGGAGAGGGAUGCGGAAUUCCAGGUGUAGCGGUGAAAUGCGUAGAUAUCUGGAGGAACACCGGUGGCGAAGGCGGCAUCCUGGACCAACACUGACGCUGAGUGAGCGAAAGCCAGGGGAGCAAACGGGAUUAGAUACCCCAGUAGUCC